rnacentral:other from 1 species
CGCUAUCAUCAUUAACUUUAUUUAUUACCGUCAUUCAUUUCUGAAUGUCUGUUUACCCCUAUUUCAACCGGAUGCGAUGCGUCCGGUUUUUUUU